rnacentral:rRNA from 1 species
AGUAAAAGUCGUAACAAGGUUUCCGUAGGUGAACCUGCGGAAGGAUCAUUAUUUAAAAUGUAAAGGAGUGCACUUCAUUGUGACUCUGACACUUUUAAAUAUUUAAACCAUUUUAAACCCAAAGCUGUUAUGUGUGCCUUUUAGGUAUAGCAUCUCAGUAGUACGUCUCAACUUUUGUUUUGACAUUACCCCCCCUUAUAAGUGACCCCCCUUUUUGUGCAUUGAUGGACUUUAAAUAAUGUUUUAAGAAUGUAAACCCUAUAAUCAUAUAACUUUUAACAAUGGAUCUCUUGGCUCUCACAUCGAUGAAGAACACAGUGAAAUGUGUUAAGUAAUGUGAAUUGCAGAAUUCAGUGAAUCAUCGAAUCUUUGAACGCACCUUGCACCUUUUGGUAUUCCAAAAGGUACACCUGUUUGAGUGUCAUGAAACCCUCUCAUUCUAAUUCUUUAUUUGAUAUAAGGAGUUGGUAUGGAUGUUGAGUGCUGCCGUCAUUGGCUCACUUUGAAUACAUAAGUACUUUUAUCUUGAAAAAUAAAUGGAGAAAUACUUGGUGUAAUAUUUAUGUUUCAUUAAGGAGUGUGGUUUAAUUACUACAGCCAUUUGUUUUGGAUAAAUAGCUUCCUAACCCUAUUAUAUUUAAACUUUAGACCUCANAUCAGGUGGGACUACCCGCUGAACUUAAGCAUAUCAAUAAGCGGAGGA